GCUGUACUUUGACCUAAAAUGGUUUACUUCAUUUUACCAAUUGUGACUUUGGUGGAGAGUUGUCUCAUUGGCAUUCAAACCACAUAUAUUUAUAUCUAUGAAUAUGAAGGUAGUCAUAUUUAAGAGGAAGUGUAUAGACCUCUCUACCAAGAAGUUUGAUCAUGCUUAUAUAUAAUAUUUGCGUUUUUUAUCCAAUGCAAUCAUGGUUUUGACCGUGGUUUUUAAUUUAGACUUGUUUUUAU
rnacentral:lncRNA from 1 species